rnacentral:rRNA from 1 species
CGCUAUCACUCCUACGGGAGGCAGCAGUGGGGAAUAUUGCACAAUGGGCGCAAGCCUGAUGCAGCCAUGCCGCGUGUAUGAAGAAGGCCUUCGGGUUGUAAAGUACUUUCAGCAGUGAGGAAGGUGGUAGUGUUAAUAGCACUAUCAUUUGACGUUAGCUGCAGAAGAAGCACCGGCUAACUCCGUGCCAGCAGCCGCGGUAAUACGGAGGGUGCGAGCGUUAAUCGGAAUUACUGGGCGUAAAGCGCAUGCAGGCGGCCUGUUAAGUCAGAUGUGAAAGCCCGGGGCUUAACCUCGGAAUUGCAUUUGAAACUGGCAGGCUAGAGUCUUGUAGAGGGGGUAGAAUUUCAGGUGUAGCGGUGAAAUGCGUAGAGAUCUGAAGGAAUACCAGUGGCGAAGGCGGCCCCCUGGACAAAGACUGACGCUCAGAUGCGAAAGCGUGGGGAGCAAACAGGAUUAGAUACCCUGGUAG